rnacentral:rRNA from 1 species
CCUACGGGAGGCAGCAGUGAGGAAUAUUGGUCAAUGGGCGGAAGCCUGAACCAGCCAAGUAGCGUGCGGGAUGAAGGCCCUACGGGUCGUAAACCGCUUUUGCACGGGGAUAACACCCUCCACUUGUGGAGGUCUGCAGGUACCGUGCGAAUAAGGGCCGGCUAAUUCCGUGCCAGCAGCCGCGGUAAUAUGGAAGGCCCGAGCGUUAUCCGGAUUCAUUGGGCUAAAAGGGAGCGUAGGCGGGCGUUCAAGUCAGCUGUAAAAUCGCGCGGCUCAACCGCCCCCCGCAGUUGAAACUGGAGGCCUUGAGUGAACAACAGGCAGGCGGAAUUCGUGGUGUAGCGGUGAAAUGCAUAGAUAUCACGAGGAACCCCGAUUGCGAAGGCAGCCUGCCGGGGUGCGACUGACGCUGAGGCUCGAAGGUGCGGGUAUCAAACAGGAUUAGAUACCCCUGUAGUC